ACAAUGAAGAGUUUGAUCCUGGCUCAGGAUGAACGCUAGCUACAGGCUUAACACAUGCAAGUCGAGGGGCAUCAGGAAGAAAGCUUGCUUUCUUUGCUGGCGACCGGCGCACGGGUGAGUAACACGUAUCCAACCUGCCCUUUACUCGGGGAUAGCCUUUCGAAAGAAAGAUUAAUACCCGAUGGCAUAAUGAUUCCGCAUGGUUUCAUUAUUAAAGGAUUCCGGUAAAGGAUGGGGAUGCGUUCCAUUAGGUUGUUGGUGAGGUAACGGCUCACCAAGCCUUCGAUGGAUAGGGGUUCUGAGAGGAAGGUCCCCCACAUUGGAACUGAGACACGGUCCAAACUCCUACGGGAGGCAGCAGUGAGGAAUAUUGGUCAAUGGGCGCUAGCCUGAACCAGCCAAGUAGCGUGAAGGAUGAAGGCUCUAUGGGUCGUAAACUUCUUUUAUAUAAGAAUAAAGUGCAGUAUGUAUACUGUUUUGUAUGUAUUAUAUGAAUAAGGAUCGGCUAACUCCGUGCCAGCAGCCGCGGUAAUACGGAGGAUCCGAGCGUUAUCCGGAUUUAUUGGGUUUAAAGGGAGCGUAGGUGGACUGGUAAGUCAGUUGUGAAAGUUUGCGGCUCAACCGUAAAAUUGCAGUUGAUACUGUCAGUCUUGAGUACAGUAGAGGUGGGCGGAAUUCGUGGUGUAGCGGUGAAAUGCUUAGAUAUCACGAAGAACUCCGAUUGCGAAGGCAGCUCACUGGACUGCAACUGACACUGAUGCUCGAAAGUGUGGGUAUCAAACAGGAUUAGAUACCCUGGUAGUCCACACAGUAAACGAUGAAUACUCGCUGUUUGCGAUAUACAGUAAGCGGCCAAGCGAAAGCAUUAAGUAUUCCACCUGGGGAGUACGCCGGCAACGGUGAAACUCAAAGGAAUUGACGGGGGCCCGCACAAGCGGAGGAACAUGUGGUUUAAUUCGAUGAUACGCGAGGAACCUUACCCGGGCUUAAAUUGCAGUGGAAUGAUGUGGAAACAUGUCAGUGAGCAAUCACCGCUGUGAAGGUGCUGCAUGGUUGUCGUCAGCUCGUGCCGUGAGGUGUCGGCUUAAGUGCCAUAACGAGCGCAACCCUUAUCUUUAGUUACUAACAGGUUAUGCUGAGGACUCUGGAGAGACUGCCGUCGUAAGAUGUGAGGAAGGUGGGGAUGACGUCAAAUCAGCACGGCCCUUACGUCCGGGGCUACACACGUGUUACAAUGGGGGGUACAGAAGGCAGCUAGCGGGUGACCGUAUGCUAAUCCCAAAAUCCUCUCUCAGUUCGGAUCGAAGUCUGCAACCCGACUUCGUGAAGCUGGAUUCGCUAGUAAUCGCGCAUCAGCCACGGCGCGGUGAAUACGUUCCCGGGCCUUGUACACACCGCCCGUCAAGCCAUGGGAGCCGGGGGUACCUGAAGUACGUAACCGCAAGGAUCGUCCUAGGGUAAAACUGGUGACUGGGGCUAAGUCGUAACAAGGUAGCCGUACCGGAAGGUGCGGCUGGAACACCUCCUUU
rnacentral:rRNA from 1 species